UAUACGUGUAUUUUUGCGUGUUUGAAAGAUGAUAAUCUUUACGAUUUUUGGGCCGGAUGAGGCCGCAGGCAAGCGUAAACCGGUUGUCUUAAUGUUUACAGGCGUGUCCUGAAAGUUUCUUUUGCGUUUUACUGAAGCGUAAGCGUUUUCGAUAAAAAGGACAACGUAUAUUGUAAAAGUUUUUGAAGUUUCUAAAAACUCGAUUACAAUAAUGAAGAUUUUUCUAAGUGGGAGUAUACGAGUAUACGCACCCACUCCCCC
rnacentral:lncRNA from 1 species